rnacentral:rRNA from 1 species
UACGUAGGCAGCGAGCGUUGUUCGGAAUUACUGGGCGUAAAGCGUGCGUAGACGGUUACAUAAGUCGGGUGUGAAAGCCCCGGGCUCAACCUGGGAAUGGCAGUGGAUACUGGCAAGCUAGAGUGCGGUAGAGGGGUGUGGAAUUCCCGGUGUAGCGGUGAAAUGCGUAGAGAUCGGGAGGAACACCAGUGGCGAAGGCGGCACCCUGGACCAGCACUGACACUGAGGCACGAAAGCGUGGGGAGCAAACAGG